UGCUUGCCUCAGCAGCAUGAUACUAAAACUGGAAUUAUACAGAAAUGAUAAGCAUGGCCCCUGCCCUAAAACGACAUGCAAAUUUGUGAUAGUGUACCAUUUUUG